rnacentral:rRNA from 1 species
GAUGAACGCUAGCGAUAGGCUUAACACAUGCAAGUCGAGGGGCAGCAUGGUCUUAGCUUGCUAAGGCUGAUGGCGACCGGCGCACGGGUGCGUAACGCGUAUGCAACUUGCCUCACAGAGGGGGAUAACCCGUCGAAAGACGGACUAAUACCGCGUACACUCUAUGUUGGGCAUCCAAUGUAGAGGAAAUGAAAUUCGCUGUGAGAUAGGCAUGCGUCCCAUUAGCUAGUUGGUGAGGUAACGGCUCACCAAGGCGACGAUGGGUAGGGGAACUGAGAGGUUGACACCCCACACUGGUACUGCGACACGGACCAGACUCCUACGGGAGGCAGCAGUGAGGAAUAUUGGUCAAUGGGCGAGAGCCUGAACCAGCCAAGUCGCGUGAAGGAUGACUGUCUUAUGGAUUGUAAACUUCUUUUAUACGGGAAUAACAAGAGUCACGUGUGGCUCCCUGCAUGUACCGUAUGAAUAAGCAUCGGCUAACUCCGUG